rnacentral:rRNA from 1 species
CCCUUAGAUGUUCUGGGCCGCACACGCGCUACACUGAAGGAGGCAGCGUGUACUCCUGGAUCGAAAGAUUUGGGUAACCCGCGAAUCUCCUUCGUGCUAGGGAUUGAGGUUUGCUAUUAUCCUUCAUGAACGAGGAAUUCCCAGUAAGUGCAAGUCAUAAGCUUGCGCUGACUACGUCCCUGCCCUUUGUACACACCGCCCGUCGCUACUACCGAUUGAAUGAUUUAGUGAGGACUUCGGACUGGGACCGAUGCGGCUUUCGGGCUGCGUCGGUAUUCUGGAAAGAUGUCCAAACUGUAUCAUUUAGAGGAAGUAAAAGUCGUAACA